rnacentral:rRNA from 1 species
CCUGGCGGCCGUAGCGCGGUGGUCCCACCUGACCCCAUGCCGAACUCAGAAGUGAAACGCCGUAGCGCCGAUGGUAGUGUGGGGUCUCCCCAUGCGAGAGUAGGGAAC